CAGGUUUUCGCUUCUCCUCCUUUAUUAGUAUCUGAGAUUUAUGCAACUGAAUGCUAUUACCCGAAUGUCCUUCAUGCAAACCUCCCUGUUGAUUUAUAAGGCCAUGGAGAGGCACUGAAUGAGGAGUUUCUUCAUAAGGAGAAUAAUUAGAAGAAUUGCAAUGAUCGUGCGGCAGGAAAUGCUGAGUUUCUCUAUGAUCCAUCAACUGGCCAUGAUAAAACUGUGGAUGUGGAUGGGUUUCAUAUGCACUGGAGGAACUCUGAAGAAUUGGUUGAGCAGUAAAUGGCAAAGUACUGACCCCAACAGAGACAGUUGCAGCACUACUUGUCUCUCUGUCAACAUUUAGUCUAUCUAACUCAUCUAAAUUAUUUCCUGAAGAGCUUGCCAAACCAUGCAGGGUCGAGUUUUUCCUGGUUCCCACUUCCAUGCCAUUAACAGCAACUACAUACUGAAUCUCAGAAUCACCCUCCGCGCUACCCAGGCCAAAUUGAGCAUCGUCUAAAUCACUUAUGGAGAAUAAAAACAUUCUAAGCUUUUG
rnacentral:misc_RNA from 1 species